rnacentral:rRNA from 1 species
GACGAACGCUGGCGGCGUGCUUAACACAUGCAAGUCGAACGGAAAGGCCCUGCUUUCAGGGUGCUCUCGUGUCGAACACGUGAGUGACACGUGUGUGAUCUGCCCUCCACUUCUUGAUAAGCCUUGGAAACUGGGUCUCAUACCGGAUAUGACCUUCCCUGUAGUGUGGUGGGUGGUAAGAUUUGUCGGUGUGGGAUGAACUCGCGGCCUAUCAGCUUGUUGGUGGGGUAGUGGCCUACCAAGGCGUCGACGGGUAGCCGGCCUGAGAGGGUGGACGGCCACAUUGGGACUGAGAUACGGCCCAGACUCCUACGGGAGGCAGCAGUGGGGAAUAUUGCACAAUGGGCGGAAGCCUUAUGCAGCGACGCCGCGUGGGGGAUGACGGCCUUCGGGUUGUAAACCUCUUUCGACAGGGACGAAGCGUGGGUGACGGUAACUGGAUAAGAAGCACCGGCUAACUACGUG